rnacentral:rRNA from 1 species
GGCCAGACUCCUACGGGAGGCAGCAGUGGGGGAUAUUGCACAAUGGGGGGAACCCUGAUGCAGCGACGCCGCGUGGGUGAAGGAGCGUUUCGGCGCGUAAAGCCCUAUCGGCAGGGAAGAAGGAGGACGGUACCUGACUAAGAAGCCCCGGCUAACUACGUGCCAGCAGCCGCGGUAAUACGGAGGAUGCGAGCGUUAUCCGGAUUUAUUGGGUUUAAAGGGUGCGUAGGCGGAAUGCCGAGUCAGCGGUAAAAUCGGGGGGCUCAACCUCGGUCCGCCGUUGAAACUGGCGUUCUUGAGUGGGCGAGAAGUAUGCGGAAUGCGUGGUGUAGCGGUGAAAUGCAUAGAUAUCACGCAGAACUCCGAUUGCGAAGGCAGCAUACCGGCGCCCAACUGACGCUGAAGCACGAAAGCGUGGGUGUCGAACAGGAUUAGACACCCGAGUA